rnacentral:rRNA from 1 species
UGCGCCCCCUGGCAUUCCGGGGGGCAUGCCUGUUCGAGCGUCAUUUCAACCCUCAAGCUCUGCUUGGUAUUGGGCGACGUCCGCUGCCGGACGCGCCUGGAAGACCUCGGCGACGGCGUCUCAGCCUCGAGCGUAGUAGUAAAAUAUCUCGCUUUGGA